UCACUGAUGCUUGAUAAUGUAGAGAAAUAGACUAGAUAUCAGAGAGUGAGGGUUUACAACUUUAACAGCUAUUUGUUUUCUUUACAGAUGGGAAGGUUGAAGUGACAAAAGAAGGUGUAAAGCUGUGCACCAUGGGACCUGGCAAAGUAUUUGGGGAGCUAGCCAUCCUUUACAAUUGCACCCGAACAGCAACUGUCAAAAAAUCACUUCCCAUUUCAUUGCACAAUAUGAAGAGAAGCAUGAUGUCAAUGUUUGUGACUCAAUAUAUUUGACUACCUUCACAACUCAAUCAAGAAGGACUUACGGAUUGACAGGCAUGUUUGGGCAGUUAUUGUUAUGUAAUGAAUGUAGCAUUAGACAUCACCCUAUUUUUUUUACCAUAGCACGACUAAAUUUCCUGGUCCUUGCUUGUGCUGCUCCAUCAGACCAUGCAUCAAUGCAAUGUUUAUGCUCAGUGAUAUUUUCUAUGAUAAAUUCAUUCAGUUUGUUAAAAUUCUGCCAUCUUGAUAGAGCUUAAUACCACAAGAACUCUUCUUUAAUGAUUAUUUUCCAUUUAAGCUUUAUGUACAUAAGUUACUGAGAAAAAAUGAUGAUGCCAUUUGCUCUGGACCCCUCUCUUCUAUCCUCAACUGCUCUGUGCUUAGAGGCAAGGCAUAUGACCCAUUCCACUAUAUGGGAGAUACAAAGAGGUCAUACCACUACUUUGUACAAACAGUUCCAGAAUGUGACAUUUCAGCAGUUUCAGCAUCAUGCUCUAACUCUCCUAGCCAAGGAAAACUAUUUCAUAUAGUAUGCAAAGGAUGAAUAAAACUGGAGCCAUGGACA
rnacentral:lncRNA from 1 species